AGUGAACGCUGGCGGCAGGCCUAAUACAUGCAAGUCGAACGGCAGCACAGUGGAGCUUGCUCCAUGGGUGGCGAGUGGCGGACGGGUGAGGAAUACAUGGGAAUCUGCCCAGUCGUGGGAGAUAACGUAUGGAAACGUACGCUAAUACCGCAUGCGCCCUUCGGGGAAAGUCGGGGACCGCAAGGCCUGACGCGAUUGGAUGAGCCCAUGUUCGAUUAGCUAGUUGGCGGGGUAACGGCCCACCAAGGCGACGAUCGAUAGCUGGUCUGAGAGGAUGAUCAGCCACACUGGAACUGAGACACGGUCCAGACUCCUACGGGAGGCAGCAGUAGGGAAUAUUGGACAAUGGGCGCAAGCCUGAUCCAGCCAUGCCGCGUGAGUGAAGAAGGCCCUCGGGUUGUAAAGCUCUUUUGGUUGGGAAGGAAAAAGCAGUUGGUUAAAUACCCGAUUGUUCUGACGGU
rnacentral:rRNA from 1 species